rnacentral:lncRNA from 1 species
AUGCUUCUCACAAACGCGACCCUCUCCCUCAACACGGACAAAACCGAACCCUAAACGCCUCUCCGUCGCGAACUUCUCCCUCUUUGCAACAAAGCCCUAAACGCCUCUCCACGAAUCCCCUCUCUCCGAUGCCUCUCGGCGAACCUUCCUUCCUCUGCGACGAAAUCCUUUCUACUACCACCGGUGACUUUGUUCUUCCGCCUCGUUGUUCAGAGUUUUCAAGGUUAAAUCGGUUUUCCUUUCGAUUCUAGUCUUCUCAUUCUUCAAUAGAUUCUGAUUCUAAUUUUCCUUUUGUUUUGCUUCAUUUUGCUUUCAGAGUUUUCAAGGGUUUUUCAACAGUUCUCUUCGUUGUUUCCGCCAUCAUUACGUUCAAGUCUUAAUCAAUAUGUAUCCCUAUUUCUUCAGUAAGUAGAUCCGAACUAUGUUUAUCUCAAUCUUAAUUUUCUAUGAUGUGUGAUACUGUGGUUUCUAAGCUUCGAUUUGGAAUCUGGUAGUUCUGUCCCGAAUUUGCGAUUAGACAAUUUUUUCCCACGUUCUUAAUGCUUGUAGAUUUCUCCACACAUUUAGUUAUCAGUAACUUAUUUAACACCAGUGAUAAUUUAUUCUAGUUAAAUAUAUGAAAUAAGGUAUAAAGAGGUGCUUUUGGUAAAGGUACUUUAAUCUACUGUUCAAUAUCCGCUAAUUUUUGUCAAAUAGAGUCAUACUCUCGUGGAAAUUUGUCUUUGAAAUAACCGAAAUCCCUAAUUUUAUCUUUACCAUUCUGAUUGUAGGAAACUCUCCAGUGUAUGUACAUGUUUUGGAUAUAGAGAUUGGGAACAUGUAGGAAAGCAUUCUAAAUCUGAAUUACCACUUUUGAUGGUUAU